AUUGAACGCUGGCGGCAGGCUUAACACAUGCCAGUCGAGCGGGGGAAGGUAGCUUGCUACCGGACCUAGCGGCGGACGGGUGAGUAAUGCUUAGGAAUCUGCCUAUUAGUGGGGGACAACAUCUCGAAAGGGAUGCUAAUACCGCAUACGUCCUACGGGAGAAAGCAGGGGAUCUUCGGACCUUGCGCUAAUAGAUGAGCCUAAGUCGGAUUAGCUAGUUGGUGGGGUAAAGGCCUACCAAGGCGACGAUCUGUAGCGGGUCUGAGAGGAUGAUCCGCCACACUGGGACUGAGACACGGCCCAGACUCCUACGGGAGGCAGCAGGGGGGAAUAUUGGACAAUGGGGGGAACCCUGAUCCAGCCAUGCCGCGUGUGUGAAGAAGGCCUUAUGGUUGUAAAGCACUUUAAGCGAGGAGGAGGCUACUUUAGUUAAUACCUAGAGAUAGUGGACGUUACUCGCAGAAUAAGCACCGGCUAACUCUGUG
rnacentral:rRNA from 1 species